GGCAUCUUCCCUCCCCAGGGAUUGAACACGCGACUCCUGCAUUGGCAAACUGAGCCACCUGGGAAGCUCUUAAAAGGGCAUGCUGCACCAAAAGUUAAGAGUUCUUGUCACCCGGGCACGCAGGAGACGAGCUUCCACUAGCUUUUGCUGGAAGAUGUUGACAUGCUGCAGCCCCAGAUUCCAGACUCCAAAUAAAUCUUCAGUUGCCUGAUAAUCGUCUCCCCGCCAGCUUCUUCCCACCAAGUGCUGUUCCACGGGGUCAGCUGAAAUGCAGAUUCUACAGGAAGGAUGAUGGGCCAUCAGUGAGGCAAGUUCAGCUCGUCAGCCUACCAUGGGAUUUUCCUCCAGGCUGGAACGCCAGGUUGGAUUCCAAGAAAUACAUACAUUGCAGUGUAAUUAAGCAAGGAAGCCGUGUUCUUGGAGCCUGGGUGCUGUGUGAUCGGCGUUUGGGCCACAUCGACUUCCUGGCAGUAAACAGACUUAAGUGCACCAUCUGUUUCGCAGUUAUUCCCCUGGACCUGUUUUUAGUCAGUUUCUCUCCUUUGCAGGUUCUGACAACCUUGUUUUCUUUUUCUCUCCUUUUUCUUUUUUUUUUUUAACUGAUGUAAACCAGUAUUUGCUUUUUUUCCCCCCAUGUGCCAGGUUAGAUUCUUUUCAUUUACAUACCAUCAUUUGUUCCAUGAAAGUAAAAAGCAAGCCAUCUUUCUGGUCUGUUUUGUCAACAUUCACAAUGAUUAAGAAUUUACAGAGUUAGUAUUCAGCUUUGUCCUCAAACUGAGAGAAGGUAGUUUAAAAAAAAUUUUUUUUUAACAUUAUGUCAAUUUAAUAUCACUUUAUUACCUUUUAAAAUUAAUAAGCUUUCUUCUUGAAAACUGAAAAUUACCCAUUCCCAAUAAUAUGUGUGUGCGUGAUCAUUCGUGCUGGACUCUUUGUGACCUCAUGAACUGUAACCUGCCAGGCAUCCCGACACUGGGAUUAGAUCCCAGGAGGACAGCAGGGCCACGGCUGGUGCUGACUGCCCGUGACCCCUGGCCCAGAGCUGGUGGUUGUGGGAAGAGCUCACAGCUGGCAUGUUGUGGGGCUGGGGAUGGGGCUCAGGCUGCUUGACGGCCCGCCAUCCCUUGGAUGGCCACCUUUGAUGCUGCAAGCCCGCUGCCAGGCACAGGGUCCCUGCUGGUUUAUAUCAAACCUCCCGUUGGUCUCUUACUGCGUUUGC
rnacentral:lncRNA from 1 species